rnacentral:rRNA from 1 species
CCUACGGGGGGCAGCAGUGGGGAAUAUUGGACAAUGGGGGGAACCCUGAUCCAGCCAUGCCGCGUGUGUGAAGAAGGCCCUCGGGUUGUAAAGCACUUUCAGUGAGGAAGAACGCCUGGUGGUUAAUACCCAUCAGGAAAGACAUCACUCACAGAAGAAGCACCGGCUAACUCCGUGCCAGCAGCCGCGGUAAUACGGAGGGUGCGAGCGUUAAUCGGAAUUACUGGGCGUAAAGCGCGCGUAGGUGGCUUGAUAAGCCGGUUGUGAAAGCCCCGGGCUCAACCUGGGAACGGCAUCCGGAACUGUCAAGCUAGAGUGCAGGAGAGGAAGGUAGAAUUCCCGGUGUAGCGGUGAAAUGCGUAGAGAUCGGGAGGAAUACCAGUGGCGAAGGCGGCCUUCUGGACUGACACUGACACUGAGGUGCGAAAGCGUGGGAAGCAAACAGGAUUAGAUACCCGAGUAGUC